GAUGAACGCUGGCGGCGUGCCUAAUACAUGCAAGUCGAGCGAACGGACGAGAAGCUUGCUUUUCUGAUGUUAGCGGCGGACGGGUGAGUAACACGUGGAUAACCUACCUAUAAGACUGGGAUAACUUCGGGAAACCGGAGCUAAUACCGGAUAAUAUUUUGAACCGCAUGGUUCAAAAGUGAAAGACGGUCUUGCUGUCACUUAUAGCUGGAUCCGCGCUGCAUUAGCUAGUUGGUAAGGUAACGGCUUACCAAGGCGACGAUGCAUAGCCGACCUGAGAGAGUGAUCGGCCACACGGGAACUGAGACACGGUCCAGACUCCUGAGGGAGGCAGCAGUAGGGAAUCGUCCGCAAUAGGCGAAAGCCUGACGGAGCAACGCCGCGUGAGUGAUGAAGGUCUUCGGAUCGUAAAACUCUGUUAUUAGGGAAGAACAUAUGUGUAAGUAACUGUGCACAUCUUGACGGUACCUAAUCAGAAAGCCACGGCUAACUACGUG
rnacentral:rRNA from 1 species